CGAGAAGUUUGAGUCCUCGGCUCAGGAUGAAACGCUAGCGGGCAGGCUUAACACAAUGCAAGUCGAGGGGUAAAAAUAGGGCUUCGGCUAUUUGAGACCGGCAAACGGUGCGGACACGUACACAACCUACCUUUAUCAGGGGAAUAGCCCAGAGAAAUUUGGAUUAAUGCCCCAUAGUAUUAUUUGAUGGCAUCAUUAGAUAAUUAAAGAACUUCGGAUAGAGAUGGGUGUGCGUAAGAUUAGCUAGUUGGUAAGGUAACGGCUUACCAAGGCGACGAUCUUUAGCUGAUGUGAGAGCAUGAUCAGCCACACGGGCACUGAGACACGGGCCCGACUCCUACGGGAGGCAGCAGUGAGGAAUAUUGGUCAAUGGACGGAAGUCUGAACCAGCCAUGCCGCGUGAAGGAUGAAGGCGUUCUGCGUUGUAAACUUCUUUUAUUUGAGAAGAAACCACUUUUUUCUAAGAGUGUUGACGGUAUCAGAUGAAUAAGCACCGGCUAACUCCGUG
rnacentral:rRNA from 1 species